rnacentral:misc_RNA from 1 species
ACAUCACAUAAUUGAAAUACUUGAAAAUAUGGAGAGGGCCAAAGUCAGCCACCAAUGACUCUAAGAGAGCCAAAGACCAAUGGCUCUAAGAACACGUGAUCAACGCUAUCCAAUGACUAAGGGGCUCGUGAAACCUGGCGACAGCUACCACAUUGAAUUCUGUUCUCGGAAAUCAACUAGAGAUUUCUGACAAUGACAUUUCUUCCUGCAGAGCCAAUAAAACCGCAGGCACGUCACCUGACAGUGCAAAUGGCGCCGUCGUUACUUCUAUUCAUUUUGAUGUGGGGUUCACUGGUACGUGGUUUGAAGGCAGAGAACUUUGAACUCUCAGGGACAAAAGAAUCCCACACAAUAAUACACCACAAGUGCAAGGGAGCUAAUCUGACACUGAAUGAGCCUACGGCAAAUGUUACCGUCCUUCAUGUCUUUGUAUUUCUCGGGAGAGAAACUCUAGCAAGCACCUCGGUACCGGCUACGGGAAUGUUUGAGAAGCGUUUGAACGUUCACAAUAACGGAAGAGUGACCUUGACCAAUCUGACGUCAGAUGACCUGGGGAGAUACCGAGUGGAGGUCCGAGCUGAGGACCAAAUCACACACAACAUCAGACUGAUUAUUAAAGAGCCGCCUACAUCAGCAGACGGAGAAUUAUUGGUGAUGAAGAAUGCCUUGUCAGACACAAACUCUAUUCGCAUGAAGUGUGGCGCGUUUACAACUUUGGGCUUCCCGCCUGUGUCAGCAGUGUGGAAGGAUCCCGCAGGACGAACACUAAGCAGUGACGGCUUUGAGGAUGAGUACUUUUACCUGGAUGUACCUGCCGACACGGCGGACUCUGGCGACUACUGCUGUCAGCUGGACUGUCGAGCCCCCGACUUCUGUUGUCUUGACGACCAGUCGCCGCUAAGGUCGUGCGCAACAAUACCUGUCCAAACAGACAGAAAGGUCGAGGUCACGACUGACGACAAGACAUCUUCAGGAAACGUAACUCAAGCGAUGGCUUACCUGGUUCACCGACAAGCCAGGUGUGACCAGCUGGACACUUACAUCACAAAGGUGGAGACGUUACAAGUGGACAUGUUGAAAGGCAUCGAGAACAUGAGGAACACGACUACAGACGCUCGAGUCCAGCUAGAGACAGAAACGAACCACAAACUGUGGAACUUUCAGCUUCAGAUGGAUUCUAACGCGUCUAAAGUUAUGGAGUCUUGUAAUGUUAGUCAGCAGCAGCUACUGACUACAGUUUCUGACAAACUUUUAGAGCUGGAAACGAAGUUAAACAAGGGCUUGGUCCACCUUCACAAUGCAAGCUUUACUGCUGAUAGAAGACUCGAGGCAAACAUCAACCGAUCCGUGGAACAUCUCCAGAAAGUACAAUUGCAGCUGGAUACUAACAUUUCUAAAGCUGUAGAAUCCUAUAAUGAACUUCAGCAGCGUCUAAUGGAGACAUCAGAGGAACUGCAGUUAAACCAAACUACCUUCUCAUAUCAAGUGGAAAACAUUGUAACUAGACUUGACAAAGAUGGGGGCAUUGAAUCAAAACUUACCAGAGCUGCGGACCAGGUUAAAGAUUUGCAACAGAGGAUAGAAGAAAUUUCCGAGGCAGCUGAUAAACAACAAUCACAACUUAACAAGCAAAUUACAGAACUUGCAGCUGAAGGGAAGACAGGACUUUCUGGUCUGCAACAAAUAACAUCAGAUCUCAGAACUACGUUGACCAGCAAUGUCCAGACAUUGACAAACCUGAUUUCGCAAACUGAGCUUCGGGUGUCGGAACUCGAGAAAAAACUGUCAGUCAUCGACAAUACAUUGAACAGACUUGAGACGAAUACAAACAAAUCAUUGGAAGUCAUUCGUUCAAAGAUGUCAGCGAUUUCUAAGGUGACCCAGGAAGAUCAAUGUCGUUUGAAAGCGGGCUACGUGUGGUACCUGGGAACCUGCUUCAAGUUUUUGACGAUAAGGGUGAACUACACUACUGCAAAAGCCAAGUGCGAGGCAGACGGCGCUCACCUGUAUGACGUCAUGUCUCCCGACUUAGACGAGGAGCGUGUGCAAUUCGCUAUCAAACAAGCAAAUGUAUCGUUACCCAAAAUCAUUUGGGUUGGAGGAAACGACCUUGAGGUUGAGGGAGACUACCGCUGGAGUGAUGGAACUCCUCUGUCGUCUUCCUCUAAAUUAUGGGAUAAAGGUCAACCUAAUGACCCGUGUCAGUGCUUGGGUUUGAAAGGACUGUGAACAAAGAAGCAGAGGGUAUAAUAACACAAAACAAUGGUGAAACACCUGUUCCUAUCAACCGAGUGCUGCAGACUCCGGAAGACCGUGUGGCAAGUCGUUCGGCGUAGAAUUUCUUUGAAUUUUGUAAAUUACAAUAAAGUACAGACAUUUUCCAUCCUUUCAGGCAUAGCGAAAAAAAUUGAACAUGGUUCUGUUGUUUCCACAAGGUAAU